rnacentral:rRNA from 2 species
CGAAAGCCUGACGGAGCAACGCCGCGUGAGUGAUGAAGGUCUUCGGAUCGUAAAACUCUGUUAUUAGGGAAGAACAAAUGUGUAAGUAACUGUGCACGUCUUGACGGUACCUAAUCAGAAAGCCACGGCUAACUACGUGCCAGCAGCCGCGGUAAUACGUAGGUGGCAAGCGUUAUCCGGAAUUAUUGGGCGUAAAGCGCGCGUAGGCGGUUUCUUAAGUCUGAUGUGAAAGCCCACGGCUCAACCGUGGAGGGUCAUUGGAAACUGGGAAACUUGAGUGCAGAAGAGGAAAGUGGAAUUCCAUGUGUAGCGGUGAAAUGCGCAGAGAUAUGGAGGAACACCAGUGGCGAAGGCGACUUUCUGGUCUGUAACUGACGCUGAUGUGCGAAAGCGUGGGGAUCAAACAGGAUUAGAUACCCUGGUAGUCCACGCCGUAAACGAUGAGUGCUAAGUGUUAGGGGGUUU